rnacentral:rRNA from 1 species
CUAACCAGGAUUCCCCUAGUAACGGCGAGUGAAGCGGGAAGAGCUCAAAUUUGUAAUCUGGCGGUCUAUGGCCGUCCGAGUUGUAGUCUGGAGAAGCGUUUUCUGCGUCGGACCGUGUACAAGUCCCUUGGAACGGGGCGUCGUAGAGGGUGAGAAUCCCGUCUUUGACACGGACUGCCGAUGCUUUGUGAUGCGCUCUCAAAGAGUCGAGUUGUUUGGGAAUGCAGCUCAAAACGGGUGGUAAAUUCCAUCUAAAGCUAAAUAUGGGCGAAAGACCGAUAGCGAACAAGUACCGUGAGGGAAAGAUGAAAAGCACUUUGGAAAGAGAGUUAAACAGUACGUGAAAUUGUUGAAAGGGAAACGCUUGAAGUCAGUCGCGUCUUCCGGGACUCAGCCUAGCUUUUGCCUGGCGUAUUUCCUGGGGUGACGGGCCAGCAUCGAUUUCGACCGUCGGAGAAGGGCUUUGGGAACGUGGCACCUUCGGGUGUGUUAUAGCCCUCGGUCGUAUGCGACGGUCGGGAUCGAGGAUCGCAGCACGCCUUUUUGGCCGGGGUUCGCCCACGUAACGUGCUUAGGAUGCUGGCGUAAUGGCUUU